GAGAUGUUGGGUUAAGUCCCGCAACGAGCGCAACCCUUGUCCUUAGUUGCCAUCAUUUGGUUGGGCACUCUAGGGAGACCGCCGGUGACAAACCGGAGGAAGGUGGGGAUGACGUCAAGUCAUCAUGGCCCUUAUGGCCAGGGCUACACACGUACUACAAUGGUGUAUACAGAGGGUUGCCAAGCCGCGAGGUGGAGCUAAUCCCAGAAAGUACAUCGUAGUCCGGAUCGGAGUCUGCAACUCGACUCCGUGAAGUCGGAAUCGCUAGUAAUCGCCGAUCAGCAUUUGCGGCGGUGAAUACGUUCCCGGGCCUUGUACACACCGCCCGU
rnacentral:rRNA from 1 species